UAAUCACUUAAAAUGGCCACACACAUUAAAAAAAAAAAAAAAAAAAGAAAAGAAAAGAACAACAAAAACCAAAGUGGUCCACAAAACAUUCUCCUUUCCUUCUGAAGGUUUUAUGAUGCAUUGUUAUCAUUAACCAGUCAUUUACUAUUAAACUUAAAUGGCCAAUUGAAACAAACAGUUCUGAGACUGUUCUUCCGCCACUGAUUAAGACUAGGGUGACAGGUAUUAGGGACAAUAUUCAUUUAGCCUUCUGAGCUUUCUGGGCAGACGUGGUGACCUUGCCAGCUCCAUUGCUUUGAUGAUACCCACAGCAACUGUCUGUCUCAUAUCACAAACAGCAAAGCGACCCAGAGGUGGGUAGACUGAGAAGCUCUCAAUACACAUGGGCUUGCCAGGAAUCAUAUCAACGAUGGCAGCAUCACAAGACUUCAAGAAAGUAGGGCCAUCUUCCAGCUUUUUACCAGAAGUGCUAUCAAUCUUUUCCUUCAGCUCAGCAAACUUGCAUGCAAUUUGAGCCAUGUGGCAAUCCAGUACAGGAGCAUAGCCAGCACUGAUUUGGCCUGGAUGGUUCAGGAUAAUCACCUGAGCAGUGAAGUCAGCUGCUUCCAUUGUUGGGUCGUUUUUGCGGUCACCAGCAACGUUGCCAUGACCAACACCAGCAGCAACAAUCAGGACAGCACAGUCAGCCUGAGAUGUCCCUGUAAUCAUGUUUUUGAUGAAGUCUUCAUGUCCUAGGGCAUCAAUGACAGUCACGUAAUACUUGCUGGUCUCAAAUUUGCACAGGGAGACAUCAGCGGUGAUACCAUAUUCACACUCAGCUUUCAGUUUAUCCAAGACCCAGGCAUACCUGAAGGAAGUCUUUCAGGACUUUCUGUAGUCUGAUUCACGGGCUAGAUCAGCAUUUCCACAUAUUUCUGCAUAGUUCAGCCCUUACCUUCCUUUUAAACAUUUAGCAUUAAGGUUACAUUUCAUACAUCCAAAGGAGCAAUGAUUUGAACGAUGGCAUGUUGCUCAUUUAAAACCUGGGAGAUCAGAAGACAGUGCGGUAACAUCUUUAAAGUGCUGAAAGAAAAGAACAGCCAACCUAGAUUUUUACAGCCAAUGAAAAUAUCCUUUAAAGAUACAGAUGCAGCUAGUAUGAACCUCCUCCACAGAGAGGAACCAAAAUGGCAAGUGGAUAUUCACAUUUCAAAUUGA
rnacentral:lncRNA from 1 species